GCUUGUCUCAAAGAUUAAGCCAUGCAUGUCUAAGUAUAAGCCUUUACACGGUGAGACUGCGAAUGGCUCAUUAAAUCAGAAACUGUUUAUUUGAUAGUGCCUACUACUUGGAUAACCGUAGUAAUUCUAGAGCUAAUACAUGCACCCAUGCCCGACUUUGUGGAAGGGUUGUGUUUAUUAGUUACAGAACCAACCCAGGCUCUGCCUGGUCUUGUGGUGAUUCAUAAUAACCGAACGAAUCGUAUGGCAUCAGCUGGCGAUGAAUCAUUCAAGUUUCUGACCUAUCAGCUUCCGACGGUAGGGUAUUGGCCUACCGUGGCAAUGACGGGUAACGGAGAAUUAGGGUUCGAUUCCGGAGAGGGAGCCUGAGAAACGGCUACCACAUCUAAGGAAGGCAGCAGG
rnacentral:rRNA from 1 species